CGAGGUGGCCGGGGCUGCGACGGGGAAUUCGAGACUGUCCGAACUGGGCAGAGAAGAAGGGCCGACCGGGAGAGUCGGGCAGAUCCGCAGGUGACAGGCACUUCCGACUCCAGCAGAGAAGGGGACACUGAUCACGGAAAACCUUCGGAGGUUUGUUAUACUCAAAAUGUACCAGGAACAGGAACAAAAGUAUUUUAUAAAAUAAUUAAUUUUUAUGGGCUAUGAGUCCCAAAUGGUUAUGUAAUCAAAGUGGAAGCAGAAAAGCAUGGCUUAGAAAAUAAUUGGUCAUGUCAUGUCACGCUUAACACAUGUGCAGACUCUGCCCUCCAGGUUGCAGUGCGAUGGUGUGAUCAAUGCUCAUAGUAGCUUCAAACUCCCAGGAUCAAGUGAUCCUCCUAAAUAAACCUCCUGAGUAGCUGGGACUACAGCUUCCACCAUGGGAUGAUACAGCAUGAAGGCCCUCACCAGAUAUGCACCCCUUGAUUUUGGACUUCCCAGACUCCAGAACUAAUCUGGGCUAUCCCUGUGACUUGCUUUGACUAACGGAAUGUGACAGAAUGACGUUGUGCAACAUCCAAAUCAGGACUUAAGAAACUGUAGGCAGCCAUCAUGCUGUGAACGCAAGCUGUGUGGAGAGACUAAGUGGAGGUGAAUGGAGUCAGUUCAGUCAACAGCCCUACCUGAUAUUUCAGUCCAUAACUAGCCCUGUGUGUCAGCCCUGUGAACAGGUCGUCUUGGACUUUUCACCCCAGUUGAGAAUAAUGACUACAUCCUCAGCUGAUAGCACAUGGAACAGAGGAACUACCUAGCUUAGCUGGGCCCAUAUUGCAGAAUUGUGAGAGAUCAUGAAAAGUUGUGUUUUUUUUAUAACUA
rnacentral:lncRNA from 10 species